UUGUUAUUACGUAACGUCCUGC
rnacentral:siRNA from 1 species